UGCACCACAUUUAAAGUCUAUGACACUAAAGAUUUUGGAAUAAGGGUAUUGGGAGGUGACAUUAUGUCCAUACCCGGCCUCUACAGAUAUGUUCAGGUGCUGCACUAGAGACUAUUGCUGAGUAUAAGACCAUUUUUCUAACUAUUGCUCCCAUGCCACAUAUACUUAGAGUUGCACAAACUCAUUUACCUUAAUACUGCUGUUAUUUAGAAUUUCUACUAAUUAAAAGGUUAAAUGGACAGAAAAAAAAGGUUAUCACAGGGGAAUGGAAAACUAUUGUGUGGUUCAUCAAUCUAAAUCCUUAAUGAUAACUUUUUGCAGAUGACUUCACAAAGGAUAGUGUGCAUUGUGCAUGUUUAUGCAUUCUAUAUUAGUCCAAGGCAUACAGUUUUGCAGAUGACUUCACAAUUCA